rnacentral:tRNA from 1 species
UCCCUGGAGGACUAGCGGUUAGGCCACAGCACUUUCACUGCUGCAGCCCGGGUUUGAGUCCCAGCCACUGGAG